UACGUAGGCAGCGAGCGUUGUUCGGAAUUACUGGGCGUAAAGAGUGUGUAGGCGGUGCUAUAAGUUCGGUGUGAAAUCUCCUGGCUCAACUGGGAGGGUGCGCCGGAAACUGUAGUGCUCGAACGUGGGAGAGGAAAGCGGAAUUCCUGGUGUAGCGGUGAAAUGCGUAGAUAUCAGGAGGAACACCGGUGGCGAAGGCGGUUCUCUGGGCAUUACCUGACGCUGAGGAGCGAAAGUGUGGGGAGCGAACAGG
rnacentral:rRNA from 1 species